rnacentral:rRNA from 1 species
GGGCCCGCACAAGCGGUGGAGCAUGUGGUUUAAUUCGAUGAUACGCGAGGAACCUUACCAGGGCUUAAAUGUAAGUUGCAUUAGUUAGAGAUAGCUAUUUCUUCGGACUACUUACAAGGUGCUGCAUGGUUGUCGUCAGCUCGUGCCGUGAGGUGUCAGGUUAAGUCCUAUAACGAGCGCAACCCCUAUCGUUAGUUGCCAUCAAGUAAAGUUGGGAACUCUAGCGAAACUGCCGGUGCAAACCGUGAGGAAGGUGGGGAUGACGUCAAAUCAUCACGGCCCUUACGUCCUGGGCCACACACGUGCUACAAUGGUGAGGACAGAGAGUCGCCAACCCGCGAGGGUGAG